AUCGCUUCUCGGCCUUUUGGCUAAGACCAAGUGUAGUAUCUGUUCUUAUCAGUUUAAUAUCAGUUUAAUAAAAAUUAUGCAAAUAAAAAUUAUGCCACGCUCCUGAUUCAAGAAUGUGUCAGAUGGGUCCUUCAGUGACCCUGCCUGGGCAGUCCUUGC
ensembl:snRNA U2 U2 spliceosomal RNA